AGCAACAUGUUUCAAUUAGGCUUACACAAAAUCAUCUCAGAUCUAAUCUCUAAAAAAGUUAGCAACUCAUGAUAAAAGAUUCAGCAAUAUUAAUAAAAGAAAUUACAGAUUUGUAUCAUGAGAGUUUCUUGAAUUUGAUAUGCCUGGUCCCUUUUGCAUACGUUAGUCUUCUACCUCUUUUCCUCCUCUCGGGACUUUUCCUCCAAAACGUGGUCUUUUGCUUGAUGUGUUGUGUUGCUCUUUUAUAAUGUUCAAAACCUAAUUCAUUUCUUUCUU
rnacentral:lncRNA from 1 species